rnacentral:rRNA from 1 species
CGUAGGGACCAAGCGUUGUUCGGAUUUACUGGGCGUAAAGGGCGCGUAGGCGGCAAAUUAAGUCAUCUGUGAAAUCUCCGAGCUUCACUCGGAACGGUCAGGUGAUACUGAUCUGCUAGAGUGCGGAAGGGGCAAUCGGAAUUCUUGGUGUAGCGGUGAAAUGCGUAGAUAUCAAGAGGAACACCUGAGGUGAAGACGGGUUGCUGGGCCGACACUGACGCUGACAGCGCGAAAGCCAGGGGAGCAAACGGGAUUAGAUACCCCGGUAGUCCUGGCCUUAAACGAUGAAUACUUGGUGUCUGGAGUCUCUAUAGCUCCGGGUGCCGUCGCUAACGUUUUUAGUAUUCCGCCUGGGGAGUACGCACGCAAGUGUG